AUAUAAUCCAGCGACUGCUGGACUUCUGAAUAGAAGAGUCACUCCAGGAAGUCGAAAGUGCAGACCAGCAAGUAGAGCAUCCUGGCAUGUGAGCUGAUGUAGGCAAGUGGCAAAGCUUGUAGGACAAUCUAAGGCCGAGCCUGGGUGAAGACAUAGCUUCCCAGGGUAUCCAGUGGGAGACAUUAUGGACCUCAAGCAGGAAGCUACACUUCGAAUUGUAUGAUGCUAACAGCCUCUGUGGCAUCCACUUCUAGACACUGAGAGCAACCUUACCCCGCGUGAAAACCGCAUGUAUCUCAGACUCUGUGUUUUAGGUGAUUAAAUGACACAAGAACAAGGAGUUUCAAGAAACCAAAUUUGCUUGCUAAAUCCACCAACUCUCCAGAUGGGAAAAACAGAAAUGAACAGCUUCCACAUAAAACAUGCAGAAGAAAGGGCAAAAGAAAUUUAAAUUCAUCAUCUGAAAUGUUUUAACACAUUAAAGUUUUUAACCCAUACAGGCACAUAAAAUGAGAU